UAAAGGUGUUCUCAACUGGCCUACCUGGUUAAAUAAAGGUGUUCUCAACUGGCCUACCCGGUUAAAUAAAGGUGUUCUCAACUGGCCUACCUGGUUAAAUAAAGGUGUUCUCAACUGGCCUACCUGGUUAAAUAAAGGUGUUCUCAACUAGCCUACCCGGUUAAAUAAAGGUGUUCUCAACUGGCCUACCCGGUUAAAUAAAGGUGUUCUCAACUGGCCUACCUGGUUAAAUAAAGGUGUUCUCAACUGGCCUACCUGGUUAAAUAAAGGUGUUCUCAACUAGCCUACCUGGUUAAAUAAAGGUGUUCUCAACUGGCCUACCUGGUUAAAUAAAGGUGUUCUCAACUAGCCUACCUGGUUAAAUAAAGGUGUUCUCAAC